rnacentral:rRNA from 1 species
ACGGAAUAGAUACCCGGGUAGUCCACGCCCUAAACGAUGUCGACUAGGUGUUCGGUGAGGAGACUCAUUGAGUACCGCAGCUAAACGCGUGAAGUCGACCGCCUGGGGAGUACGGUCGCAAGAUUAAAACUCAAAGGAAUUGACGGGGACCCGCACAAGCGGUGGAUGAUGUGGAUUAAUUCGAUGCAACGCGAAAACCUUACCUACCCUUGACAUGUACGGAACCCUGCUGAGAGGUGGGGGUGCUCGAAAGAGAGCCGUAACACAGGUGCUGCAUGGCUGUCGUCAGCUCGUGUCGUGAGAUGUUGGGUUAAGUCCCGCAACGAGCGCAACCCUUAUCAUUAGUUGCUACGCAAGAGCACUCUAAUGAGACUGCCGGUGACAAACCGGAGAAAGGUGGGGAUGACGUCAAGUCCUCAUGGCCCUUAUGGGUAGGGCUUCACACGUCAUACAAUGGUCGGUACAGAGGGUUUGCCAAGCCGCGAGGUGGAGCCAAUCCCAGAAAGCCGAUCGUAGUCCGGAUCGCAGUCUGC